UGCCGGCUGAUGUCACGGGAAACACGACUCCCUCAACUUAGAAGUGCCAGGACUUCUUUCCAGGCAGAAGUGGGUGGAUCAACGAUGCCACCUAACUUAUGUCAAAUAAACCAGCCUGGCCUUCACCCUCCAAGCAGCUGAGGCUGACCCUCAAGCUCCUGAUCCCUCUGCCCCCUUUCCUGAGUGCCGGGCCCCCGAGCACGGACCACCACACCUGAGUUAGACGCGAUGUGAUGAGUGUUUGAAGAUGUCGAUGAAGAAGAAUCAACACCUCUCUGCAGGGUCUCCACCAGAUACCAAAAACUCAGAAGCCUUAGAAAGCAGUUUUGUCUAAAGAGAGUGGGAGCGGGAAGCUCGACAGGCAAUCACUGCUCACUACACACCCCUUGCUUUGUGUGUGUGUAUGUGUAUAUGCUUGGGGUGUGUGUGUGUGUGUGUGUGUGUGUGUGUGUGUGUGUGUGUGUGUGUGUAAGAGAGAGAGAGAGAGAGAGAAAGAGAGAGAUAUGCCUGUAGACGACAGAGGACACCUUGAUUGUCAUUUGUCAGGCAUCAUCUGACUUUCUUUUCAUCUGUUUGUUUUGUUUUGGAGACAGGGUCUCAGCGGCAGAAUCUGCUUGUCUCUGCCAGGCAGUGUG
rnacentral:lncRNA from 1 species